AAAUUGAAGAGUUUGAUCAUGGCUCAGAUUGAACGCUGGCGGCAGGCCUAACACAUGCAAGUCGAACGGUAACAGGAAGAAGCUUGCUUCUUUGCUGACGAGUGGCGGACGGGUGAGUAAUGUCUGGGAAACUGCCUGAUGGAGGGGGAUAACUACUGGAAACGGUAGCUAAUACCGCAUAACGUCGCAAGACCAAAGAGGGGGACCUUC
rnacentral:rRNA from 1 species